rnacentral:snRNA from 1 species
GUGCUCACUUCAGCAGCAAAUACACUAAAAUUGGAAUAGCAUAGAUAAGAUUAGCAUAGCCCUGUGCAAAAGUGACUUGCAAAUUUGUAAAGCAUUCCAUAUUUUU